GAUGAACGCUAGCGGCAGGCCUAACACAUGCAAGUCGAGGGGUAUAGUUCUUCGGAACUAGAGACCGGCGCNCGGGUGCGUAACGCGUAUGCAAUCUACCUUUUACAGGGGAAUAGCCCAGAGAAAUUUGGAUUAAUGCCCCAUAGUGUUAUAGAAUCGCAUGGUUUUAUAACUAAAGUUCCAACGGUAAAAGAUGAGCAUGCGUCCCAUUAGUUAGUUGGUAAGGUAACGGCUUACCAAGACAAUGAUGGGUAGGGGUCCUGAGAGGGAGAUCCCCCACACUGGUACUGAGACACGGACCAGACUCCUACGGGAGGCAGCAGUGAGGAAUAUUGGACAAUGGGCGCAAGCCUGAUCCAGCCAUGCCGCGUGCAGGAAAACGGUCCUAUGGAUUGUAAACUGCUUUUGUACAGGAAGAAACACUCCCUCGUGAGGGAGCUUGACGGUACUGUAAGAAUAAGGAUCGGCUAACUCCGUG
rnacentral:rRNA from 1 species